UGAGUNGAGUUGUUUGGGAAUGCUGCUCAAAAUGGGAGGUAAACCCCUUCUAAAGCUAAAUACUGGCCAGAGACCGAUAGCGCACAAGUAGAGUGAUCGAAAGAUGAAAAGCACUUUGAAAAGAGAGUUAAAUAGCACGUGAAAUUGUUGAAAGGGAAGCGCUUGCGACCAGACUUGUGCCCGUCGAAUCAGCCGCCGCUCGCCGGCGGCGCACUUCGGCGGGCUCAGGCCAGCAUCAGUUCGCUGCAGGGGGAGAAAGGCGGCGGGAAUGUGGCUCUUCGGAGUGUUAUAGCCCGCCGCGCAAUACCCCUCGGCGGACUGAGGACCGCGCAUCUGCAAGGAUGCUGGCGUAAUGGUCGUCAGCGACCCGUCUUGAAACACGG
rnacentral:rRNA from 1 species